UACCACGGCGGGCCGGGCAGGGGACCUUCGGGUCGCCGGCGUCCUACGGGCCGGUCUGCUAACCCUGUCGUCGGGCCCGCCACCCUC
rfam:Mumia flava strain MTSC 201 Contig299, whole genome shotgun sequence.